UGGUGCCUUCGGGAACUGUGAGACAGGUGCUGCAUGGCUGUCGUCAGCUCGUGUUGUGAAAUGUUGGGUUAAGUCCCGCAACGAGCGCAACCCUUAUCCUUUGUUGCCAGCGGUCCGGCCGGGAACUCAAAGGAGACUGCCAGUGAUAAACUGGAGGAAGGUGGGGAUGACGUCAAGUCAUCAUGGCCCUUACGACCAGGGCUACACACGUGCUACAAUGGCGCAUACAAAGAGAAGCGACCUCGCGAGAGCAAGCGGACCUCAUAAAGUGCGUCGUAGUCCGGAUUGGAGUCUGCAACUCGACUCCAUGAAGUCGGAAUCGCUAGUAAUCGUGGAUCAGAAUGCCACGGUGAAUACGUUCCCGGGCCUUGUACACACCGCCCGUCACACCAUGGGAGUGGGUUGCAAAAGAAGUAGGUAGCUUAACCUUCGGGAGGGCGCUUACCACUUUGUGAUUCAUGACUGGGGUGAAGUCGUAACAAGGUAACCGUAGGGGAACCUGCGGUUGGA
rnacentral:rRNA from 1 species